rnacentral:lncRNA from 1 species
UUGGCGACAAGGGCGAGAAGCUCGGGAAAAGGGCUGGGGAGUGGUAAGAGAAGGCGGCGGCGGCGGCCGUUUCCCGUGGGGGUUCAUCGUCUUUCAAUCAGGAUCAAUUAGUUAGUCAAGUUUAGCACUUUGAUUUUGCAAGAUUUAAUUAUUUAUCUAUGUUCCUGCAUUUCGGGAUCUUUUUUUUUUUUUGUCAUUUACUUUUAUUCAAACAUGAGAAAAUGCAAGCAAGUGUAGUUUUGUUUUAGUUUUCAUUAUAAAAGCACCUCACUCGUUGAUGAGUUUGUGUAUAUUCAAAGAUGAACAAGAAAGAACCAGCAGCCUCCUCUGCUUUCUUCUUCCACUCCAUAACAUUAUUUUCAUUGUAUACACAUUCCUUCCAAUUAUUUAUUAAAAAUCUAUGCCUCCUCUGCUUUCUUCUUCCACUCCAUAACAUUAUUUUCAUUGUAUACAC